UCAAACCUGUCUAAAACGGUCACCUUGGGACAUGCAUUUAGUGGCUGUCUUAUGCAGGUGGCCUUUUUAUAGAAAUGCCUUUAAAUACAGUUUAAAUUAUUUUGUACACAUUUACUGGCCAUAGAAACUAUAUAACAAGACUUAAAGAACUUUUAGGUACCCCUAAAGACCUAAACUGAGUGGUAUAUAGUAUUAUUUCGAAGGUAUUAUUUGAGAUAACAAUUUAACAAAAAUUAAUCAUUAUUAAUGAUGUAAAAAUUAAUUCAAAAUGGGCGUGGUACAAUAGGCGUGGCUAUCUGGCCGCCUGUACACAGUGGUAGUCUUUAUCAGUCUUGAUGGAGAUUAAUUCUGUCGGUGACCGUUAACCAUCUUACAGAGAGACCGCUGGGACAGGUCACCUGAUAGAGAUAGGAAGAAACACUCACGAUCAAGAAGUCGUUGAAGAUCUCAUUCACCAAGAAGAAAUUAUCGUCAAGACGUAAGGAUAGAGUAAGGGAUUAUUCCUAUAGUCCUAGUCCAGAGAGGAGGAGGAGUAGUAAGAAAUCUAAAAAAGACAAGAAGCACAAGAGAAGGUCUCCCUCUGUCUCUCCCUCAGUCUCUCCUCCUCCACGUAAAAAUGUAAACCAACAAGAUCAGAAAAGAAAAUACAAUAUUGGUCUAAGUGUACACUGCUACAUCCUAAACAGGAGGUGGUUCUGAUAAAAAAGGAGAGGAUGAGGGGAUGGAGGAAGAGGAAGAGUUCUCUGAUGGAAGUGCUCCUUCUGAGGAGGAGAGACAAUCAAGUCCUUCAGCAUUAGAAUAGAACCAUUCAUAUUUAUAGCAGUUGUUGUUGAGCAAAAAAGUACAAAAAUGUAAAACAUCUUCUGUGAUUGUAAAUGGUAGACUAUAGUCUACCAUGCAAUUAGUUGUACAUCAGUAGGGCAUUUACUCAUAUUAGUUACUCCUACACAAUCCACCCU